UGUUUUUCUUUUUUUCACAGUCAACGUCUUUAUGAAUCGUCAACGUACUGUUCAGAAAUUUAAAUCACAAAAAUACUAAACUCCCGAGGAAAAUUAAAAAAGGAAAGUCUCUUAUCAAAUUGCAAAAUCAAAAGCUCAAACACAUCAAACGAAUGCAUAACAACUGUCAUAUUCCUGACUUGGUACAUGCAUUUUCUUACGUUUCUU
rnacentral:lncRNA from 1 species